rnacentral:misc_RNA from 1 species
ACUUCUGUGAACUCUUAGUCCUUAAAUGGAGCUCCUUAAAUGAACAGAAAAUAUGUACAUAUACAAUAUAUGAAGAAUUUAAAACCUUUGUACUGGGAUUGAAUUUUUCAAUUUCAAUAGUUUAGAAAAUUUUAAAUUUGGAAGUGUUUUUUUUUUUUAUUAUUAUUAUUUUUGGCAUUAUUUUUACAACUUUUUUUUCUAUUCAAGGAAAAAUUACACAAACAUCAACUUGCUAUCUUCCACUUUUUAGCAAUACAUGUAUUUGAGAAAUCUUAUAUGAUUUUACUUUAACUAUAUGUGCAAUGUUAAGAGGAUGUAUAUUUUCUCUCAAGUUUUGGUAAUAUAAAACCAUCUGUGUAAUCCUCUUCUGUAGAGUUUGUUUGGUCUAUGUUACUCUGAAACACAGUUUUACUGAGUACACUAUAUGCAGCAGUUUUUAAGUUGUACCGGGAUGCAAUGUGUUUGCAUUAUUUAAAUAGUUUCACUCUAUUUGCUUCAAUUCAUGCAAAUCAAGUCUGCAAGUUAAUUUGUGAUUACAUCAAAUUAAGUGUAUACCUAUAUUUCCACUACCAGUGGGUUCACAUUUAAUAGUAAGAUGAUUAGGCCAAAAUAAAAAUUGUUUUGUUUGAUGUACCGGUACUCCGACCAACCCAUUACAAUUGCCUCUACCCCCCAAAAAUGUGUAUGAUUAUCAGAUUAUCAUUGUGCAAGAAAAUUUAAGAAAAAAGGCUACCUACAUACCUAAACUACCCACCAUGGAAAAUUUAGGUCAAAGUACACAUCAAACAUAUAAAUUAUUAAUGCUGGCCUUAGAUACUGUGUAAAUAUUUUUUUUGUACAGACAUGUAUCAAUGGUCAUGCAAUUUAUAAAUGGAUAUACCACUACAAGCUUAUUGGGCCACCAUUUAUUCAUUUUUAUUGCGGCACUGAGGAUACAUUUACUAUUAGAUUAUGGCAUCAUUUUUAUUAUUUUAAUAACCAAUUAAUGAAAUAAAUGUACAUAACCAUUUUAAUACGUGUACAUACAGUAUCGACUGUAGACACCAUUUCAUGUACUCAUUGUAGUGUGUUAGUGAAUCAUGUUGUAAAUUAAUUGUAAAUUUAAGAAUUAAUUGAAGAAAGCCCUCUUUGAGGAAUAUUGUACAAGAGUUUACAGCCUUUUACUUGGUACAAUCAACUGUAUGUUUUACACAUUAAAAAAUGAUCUGAU